rnacentral:rRNA from 1 species
AUUGAACGCUAGCGGGAUGCCUUACACAUGCAAGUCGAACGAGUGGCGGACGGGUGAGUAAUAUAUCGGCACCUGCCCAGUAGAGGGGGACAACUACUCGAAACAGUUGCUACUACCGCAUACUCUUGGAGCGGCCGAUAUUGGAUUAGCUAGUUGGUGGGGUAAAGGCUCACCAAGGCGACGAUCCGUAGCUGGUCUGAGAGGACGACCAGCCACACGGGGACUGAGACACGGCCCAGACUCCUACGGGAGGCAGCAGUGGGGAAUUUUGGACAAUGGGGGAAACCCUGAUCCAGCCAUCCCGCGUGUAUGAGAAGGCCUUCGGGUUGUAAAGUACUUUUGGCAGAGAAGCGGUAUCUGAAGAAUAAGCACCGGCUAACUACGUGCCAGCAGCCGCGGUAAUUC